rnacentral:rRNA from 1 species
CCUACGGGGGGCUGCAGUUUCGAAUCAUUCACAAUGGGCGAAAGCCUGAUGGUGCGACGCCGCGUGAGGGAUGAAGGUCUUCGGAUUGUAAACCUCUGUCACUGGGGAGAAAACGCUUUGAGUUAAUAGUUCAAAGCCUGAUUUAACCCGGAGAGGAAGCAGUGGCUAACUCUGUGCCAGCAGCCGCGGUAAUACAGAGACUGCAAGCGUUAUUCGGAUUGGUUGGGAGUAAAGUGGGCGCAUGCGAUGGGAAAUCCCGAGGCUUAACCUCGGAACUGCGUCUGAAACUACUCGACUAGAGUACUGGAGAGGGAAACGGAAUUCACGGUGUAGCAGUGAAAUGCGUAGAUAUCGUGAGGAACACCAGAGGCGAAGGCGGUUUCCUGGACAGUUACUGACGCUCAGGCACGAAAGCAUGGGGAGCAAAAGGGAUUAGAUACCCGGGUAGUC